rnacentral:rRNA from 1 species
AAUCUGCCUGGUAGUGGGGGAUAGCCCAGAGAAAUUUGGAUUAAUACCGCAUGUGGUCUACGGACGAAAGUGGGGGAUCUUCGGACCUCACGCUACCAGAUGAGCCUGCGUUGGAUUAGCUAGUUGGUGAGGUAAAGGCUCACCAAGGCGACGAUCUAUAGCUGGUCUGAGAGGAUGAUCAGCCACACUGGGACUGAGACACGGCCCAGACUCCUACGGGAGGCAGCAGUGGGGAAUAUUGCACAAUGGGCGCAAGCCUGAUGCAGCCAUGCCGCGUGUGUGAAGAAGGCCCUAGGGUUGUAAAGCACUUUCAAUAGGGAGGAAGGGGUGUAACUUAAUACGUUGCAUCAUUGACGUUACCUAUAGAAGAAGCACCGGCUAACUCCGUGCCAGCAGCCGCGGUAAUACGGAGGGUGCAAGCGU